GACGAACGCUGGCGGCGUGCUUAACACAUGCAAGUCGAGCGGUAAGGCCCUUUCGGGGGUACGACGAGCGGCGAACGGGUGAGUAACACGUGGGUGACCUGCCCUCAGCUCUGGGAUAAGCCUGGGGAAACCGGGUCUAAUACUGGAUAUGACUCCAUGACGCAUGUUGGUGGGGUGGAAAGCCUUGUGCGGCUGAGGAUGGGCCCGCGGCCUAUCAGCUUGUUGGUGGGGUGANGGCCUACCAAGGCGACGACGGGUAGCCGGCCUGAGAGGGCGACCGGCCACACUGGGACUGAGACACGGCCCAGACUCCUACGGGAGGCAGCAGUGGGGAAUCUUGCGCAAUGGGCGAAAGCCUGACGCAGCGACGCCGCGUGAGGGAUGACGGCCUCGG
rnacentral:rRNA from 1 species